rnacentral:rRNA from 1 species
GACGAACGCUGGCGGCGUGCUUAACACAUGCAAGUCGAACGGAGUGGCGAACGGGUGAGUAACACGUGGGUGAUCUGUCUUGCACUUCGGGAUAAGCUUGGGAAAAUGGGUCUAAUACCGGAUAGUGCAAGAUGAGCUCGCGGCCUAUCAGCUUGUUGGUGGGGUAGUGGCCUACCAAGGCGUCGACGGGUAGCCGGCCUGAUAGGGUGGACGGGCAAAUUGGGACUGAGAUACGGCCCAGACGCCUACGGGAGGCAGUAGUGGCGAAUAUUGCACAAUGGUGGAGAGCCUGAUGCAGCGGCGCCGCGUGGGGGAUGAAGGCCUUCGGGUUGUAAACUCCUUUCGCCAGGGACGCGGUACCUGUAUAAGAAGCACCGGCUAACUACGUGCCAGCAGCCGCGGUAAUAC